rnacentral:rRNA from 1 species
CACUUCUAAGGAAGGCAGCAGGCGCGCAAAUUACCCAAUCCUGACUCAGGGAGGUAGUGACAAGAAAUAACAAUAAACCGGCUUAUGCCGGUUUAAUUGGAAUGAGUACAAUUUAAACAUCUUAACGAGGAACAAUUGGAGGGCAAGUCUGGUGCCAGCAGCCGCGGUAAUUCCAGCUCCAAUAGCGUAUACUAAAGUUGUUGCAGUUAAAAAGCUCGUAGUUGGAUUUCUGUGGGGACGGAGCGGCCGGCCGCACAUCGCGGUUCGAGCUAGCGCUUUCCCUACAUCCUGCCGCGAACCGUGCUACCAUUAGUUUGGUGGCGCCGGGGAUCGGCUCGAUUACUUUGAGAAAAAUAGAGUGUUCAAAGCGGGCCACAUGCCUUGAAUAAGUUAGCAUGGAAUAAUAACUAAGGACUUCGGUUCUAUUUUGUUGGUGUUCGGGACUGAAGUAAUGAUUGAUAGGGACAGUUGGGGCGGUCUGUAUUCCAAAGCGAGAGGUGAAAUUCUUAGACCUUCGGAAGACAAACAGCUGCGAAAGCGUUCCGCAAGGAUGUUCACUUUGAUCAAGAACGAAAGUUGGGGGAUCGAAGACGAUCAGAUACCGUCGUAGUCUCAACUAUAAACUAUACCAGCUAGGGAUCGGCCAACGUUAUUUUAUACCGACUUGGUCGGCACCUUAUGAGAAAUCAAAGCAUCUGGGUUCCGGGGGGAGUAUGGUCGCAAGGCUGAAACUUAAAGGAAUUGACGGAAGGGCACCACCAGCCGUGGAGCCUGUGGCUUAAUUUGACUCAACACGGGAAAACUUACCAGGUCCAGACAUAGUAAGGAUUGACAGAUUGAUAGCUCUUUCUUGAUUCUGUGGGUGUUGGUGCAUGGCCGUUCUUAGUUGGUGGAGUGAUUUGUCUGGUUAAUUCCGUUAACGAACGAGACCCCAGCCUGCUAAAUAGCGCGAGUGAGCUUUGCUCGCUGCGAGCUUCUUAGAGGGACUAUGAUGCGCGAUAGCACAUGGAAGUUUGGGGCAAUAACAGGUCUGUGAUGCCCUUAGAUGUUCUGGGCCGCACACGGGCUACACUGGCGCCUGCAACGAGCAUAUCAGCUGGCCCGAGAGGGUCUUGGCUAAUCUUUUGAACCGGCGCCGUGCUUGGGAUUGACCUUUGCAAUUGUUGGUCAUGCAACGAGGAAUGCCUUGUAAACGCGAGUCAUCAGCUCGCAUUGAAUACGUCCCUGCCCUUUGUACACACCGCCCGUCGCUCCUACCGAUGAAUGUUCCGAUGAAAUUUUCGGAGAGCACCUGUGAACUUGGCUCUGCCUUGCGAACGGGAGGCUCAAAGUCACUUAAAUCUGAACAUUUCGAGG